rnacentral:misc_RNA from 1 species
UCUCCGUUGGUGAACCAGCGGAGGGAUCAUUACAGAGUUUUCUAACUCCCAAACCCAUGUGAACUUACCUUUGUUGCCUCGGCAGAAGCUACCCUGUAACGAGCUACCCUGUAGCGACUUACCCUGUAGCGAUCAUUCUGCCGGUGGACCAUUAAACUCUUGUUAUUUUAUUGUAAUCUGAGCGUCUUAUUUUAAUAAGUCAAAACUUUCAACAACGGAUCUCUUGGUUCUGGCAUCGAUGAAGAACGCAGC